ACGAACGCUGGCGGCGUGCUUAACACAUGCAAGUCGAACGAUGAAGCCCAGCUUGCUGGGUGGAUUAGUGGCGAACGGGUGAGUAACACGUGAGUAACCUGCCCUUGACUCUGGGAUAAGCGCUGGAAACGGCGUCUAAUACCGGAUACGACCUGCCCCGGCAUCGGGUGCGGGUGGAAAGUUUUUCGGUCAAGGAUGGACUCGCGGCCUAUCAGCUUGUUGGUGAGGUAAUGGCUCACCAAGGCGACGACGGGUAGCCGGCCUGAGAGGGUGACCGGCCACACUGGGACUGAGACACGGCCCAGACUCCUACGGGAGGCAGCAGUGGGGAAUAUUGCACAAUGGGCGAAAGCCUGAUGCAGCAACGCCGCGUGGGGGAUGACGGCCUUCGGGUUGUAAACCUCUUUUAGUAGGGAAGAAGGACUUCGGUUUGACGGUACCUGCAGAAAAAGCACCGGCUAACUACGU
rnacentral:rRNA from 1 species